ACGGGAGGCAGCAGUGAGGAAUAUUGGUCAAUGGGCGGGAGCCUGAACCAGCCAAGUAGCGUGGAGGAUGACGGCCCUACGGGUUGUAAACUCCUUUUGCCGGGGGAUAAAAAACGGGACGCGUCCCGUCUUGCAGGUACCCGUGCGAAUAAGGACCGGCUAAUUCCGUGCCAGCAGCCGCGGUAAUACGGAAGGUCUGGGCGUUAUCCGGAUUUAUUGGGUUUAAAGGGAGCGUAGGCGGGCUUUUAAGUCAGCUGUGAAAUCCUGCGGCUCAACCGUGGAAUUGCAGUUGAUACUGGGGGCCUUGAGUGCACGCAGGGAUGCCGGAAUUCGUUGUGUAGCGGUGAAAUGCUUAGAUAUGACGAAGAACUCCGAUCGCGAAGGCAAGUGUCCGGAGUGCGACUGACGCUGAGGCUCGAAAGUGCGGGUAUCAAACAGGAUUAGAUACCCUGGUA
rnacentral:rRNA from 1 species